UUGAUUAAAGCCAAAAAGAGGCGUAUUACUGUUAAUAAUAUUAAUGAGAUUAAUCUCUAAUCAAG
rnacentral:tRNA from 1 species